rnacentral:misc_RNA from 1 species
CAAGUGACCCCGGUCUAACCACCGGGAUGUUCGUAACCCUUUGUUGUCCGACUCUGUUGCCUCCGGGGCGACCCUGCUUCGGGCGGGGGCGUCCGGUGGACACUUCAAGCUCUUGCGUAACUUUGCAGUCUGAGUAAACUUAAUUAAUAAAUUA